UAUUUAAUUGGCAUAGUAAUGUGAUAAUAGAAGAUUGGUCUGAUGAUGCAAAGACUUGCUGGGCACCAAAAUCAAGAGCGGCAACCGGAAGGGUUUUUUGUUAUUGCAUUUUAAAUCCCUAAAUGUAUACUUUUUUGCAUUUAUACCCAUAAAAUUUUAAAAUUGGCCCCACUGAAAUUAUAAAAAAACCUCUCUAUAUAACUGUCCCCCCUCAUAUGAAUUUCUAGAUCCGUCCAUGUAUAUGUGUGGUAGGAUAUUGUAUUGUGUAUCCUUUCUAGCAAUAAAAUUUCCUUCUAUUUCUCUUUGGGUAGGUCUCUUAGUGUAUACAUAUUUUAUACGGAGUAUUACGCUUUUUUAUUGUACUUUUAUAACAGCACAUGUAUUAUAGUAAGCGGGGCAAGGGGCACGUGCCCUUGAGCAUACACUGCCCUGACUUUAUAUGCAUACGGUAUUUUUUGCUCGUCACCCUAUAUAAUAUAUGCGUACUGCUAUUUCAUUUUGUGUCUAUAUAUAUAUAUAUAUAUAUCUACACACUUAUUGCUCUCAAGAUCUCUAGCUUCAAAGAGAAUCUGACACAAAAUUAAGCAAGGUUCCUAUGGCUUCUUCAUCUUCUUCUUUACUAUCUCGAUCAGAAUAUGAUGUAUUCCUAAGUUUCAGAGGGGAAGACACUCGUAAAACCUUUGUGGGCCAUCUCUACACGGCUCUGAAUCAGAGAGGAAUCAGGACCUUCAAAGAUGAUGAAAGGCUUGAGAGAGGAAAAUCUAUUUCUUCGGAUCUUGUGAAAAAUAUCAAUGAAUCCAGCAUUGCAGUCAUUGUUUUCUCCAAGAACUACGCUAAUUCAUCAUGGUGCUUGGAUGAAUUGGUGGAAAUUCUUGAGUGUAGGAGGACCAAAGGACUAACAGUUUUGCCCAUUUUCUACCAUGUGAAAGCAUCGGAUGUUCGAAAACAGAAGAGGAGUUUCGCAGAAGCAUUUAAACAGCACGAAGAAAUUCAUAAGGAGGAGACCGAAAGGGUGCAGAGAUGGAGGGCCACUUUGAAGGAAGCAGCAAAUCUAAGCGGGUUUGAUUUAGAACAUGCAGCAAAUGGAUUUUGCCAAUGCCAUAGAAGGGAGAAGCGACGGGGACACCGAGAGCUACGUACCAUCUAUUUUAUUUUGACUUUUGGGCAUUUUGGGAUUUUUGUGUGAAGACUAGAGCUCGAAUUUGGAGGCGGUCGUAGCAGGAUUUUUCGCUCUCCAUGCUUAAUUUCCUCUUCGACCCCCCGAAGUUGUGUCGCAUUCGGAGCACUUUCGUUUUGGUAUUUUGGGGUUUUCACCUCAAAGAGAGGUAGGGGGUGUGUUGUGCAUGCACAUGUGUAUGUGUGUGUGUGUUGGAUUAGAUAACUUAUAUUGUGACAGAAAAUGUAUAAGAAUGAUGAUUUGAUGAUUUAAAUGUUGCAAUCUCAUGUAUAGUAUGUUUAACAGAGUAGUAAUUGCAAUCAUAGGUGGUCGCCAAUGUGGUUUCAUUUGAAAUGUGCUCAUCUCUAAUUAUUGGUGCUUUAUUUCUCUCUCUCUCUCUCACACACACACAUACACACACACACACAUAUAUAUAUAUAUAUAUAUAUAUAUAUAUAUGAUAGUGUGGUUAUUGUUUCGACAAUCACCUAUGCUUGAACAAAGUAAAAUAAAAGCAAUAAUAGCCUCGAGAAGGAUUAUCCAAAAUAGAAAUAAAACUAAACUAUAAAGUGCACAAUUAGAAGUUCAAGAGUUUGAGAUAUGCUCACAAACGGCCAAAGCAAAACCGUGAUUCCCAAGCUUACUCCUCCCUCAAUCAAGUACCUACAAUUGCACAAAAAUAAACAAUAGGCAAAUGAUAUACAAAAAGUCCUAAACUAACAAUAAAAUGAGCACUAAUUUUAAAUUGAAUCAAUUGAACCGUUGUCCUUAGCCACAGUGUCAAAAAUUGAUGGUUUGUGAUCGAAACUUUGAUUUUAAAUUUAUAUAACCACUACUACGUAGGAUAACGAAGCAUGUGGUCCAACACAAGGACUAUAAGCUUAAUCCAAAUUCAAUAUUAAUGAUCAAAUGACAAGAAGUAUAGUUUGGAUGGUUCCUAAUUAAUAACUAGAAUUAAAUCUAUCUAAAAUGUAAAUAACUAGAUUGAUAAUGAAAAAGACAAUAUAAGAGAGAGACUUAGGGCAUGAAAUCCACCUUUAAGCCUUACAAUUAUAUCAAUGCAAUGAGAUAAAUUGUGCAUACAAAGAUUGUGGCUACAAAGACACAAUUGAGAUCAAGAUAAUGCUAUAAUUAACAUCAACAAGCAUGAAUUAUCAAAGCUAAGAAUGAAUUAUUUACUUACCUACAUCUAAUCUAACAUUUGUAGUACAAUUCAUUAAAACUAAACAUAAAUCAUCAAGUUGUAUGCAAUUAUAUCCAAUUAGCACCAUUGUGUAACCAUCAUCUACACAAUUACAUAACCAUCAUCUACACAAUUACAUAACCAUCAUCUACACAAUUACAAGAAGUGGAAAUGUAGAGUUUAACCUUCAACAAUCAAUACAUAAGACAACAUAGAGAUUAGAAAAGACCAAUUCAAGCAUUUAAACACAAUCAAGCUUGGUACAACCAAGAUUAAUCCUCUGGGUUACACAAUCUAUAGACAAAUAUAAAAAUCUCCAGAUUAAAAGAUAAUGAUACAAUUACAUAGGGCUUCAUCCAAGCCCUAAGAAGGAAAGAAACUAGCUAGCCAUGGAGAUGUUGAGGAUCAUCUUUGCAGCUUUAAUCUUCAUCUCAUAGCACUACCAAAGCUUCUUCUACAAUCUUCAAGAGCAAAUGAGAGAGAAAAUGUAGAGAGAGCUCAAGCUUUGAUCCAAAAUCCAAAUCCCUUUCAAAAUUGCUUGAUUUUUAUAUUUAUACUUGACUCUUGGGCUGCCAAAUUAUCAUAAAAUGUACAUAAGGCUCGUCAAUUGGAUGCACCAUGGACUUCGUUUAAGGAAAAUGUCAUAUCAAAAUUUGAGAGUCAUGUCUUGUGAAUACAACCAGUCGCGUUUAAGAUGCGAUCAAUCGAGAAGCGAUCUAUCCCACUCUACUCACGAUCGAUCGCAUGCCUCUAAUUUUUGCACUUCAGCUUCUUUUUGCUUCCCUUCUUUGCCAAGACUCCGUUGAAGCUUCCUAAGAGCUUUACGAGAUUGGAUUUAGCCCAUUUAAGCCAUAAGAACCUAAAAUCGACAAUAAAGUGAAUUAAAACUAAAAAGAUGAAUAAAGAUAGAAAUAAGGUGCCAACAUAUGUACGAAUAAAGGCCGAAAUGUGCAUCUUUCGGCAUUUAUUACACCCUCAAACUUACAUAUUGCUAAACCCUUAACAAUAAACAAAGAUAAUAAAUGGAAGCAACAACUAACAAACUCCAUUUUCAUAUGGAACACGAUUACAUUUAACAUAUAAAAUAAGCUUUUUAAACCCCUAACUUACCCCUAGCGGAUGAGUGAAGUCUCGUAAAAUGAUACCCACAAACAUUCAUAUACAUUAAUCCCAACAAUUCAACAUCAUGCAAUCCAAUAUAGUCCCUAUACAUUAAUCCUGCCAAGUAUACCCAUCAACAUUGACUCUAGCAUCUUUUUAAGUGAACCGACAAUAUUCAACUAUGUUGCUUAACUUAGCAUAAACAAUGCAAAGAUCAAAAUCAGACCUCAAGCUAGAAAACAUCUCAAUUAUUAACUAUCAAGACUAUGAAUGACCCUUUAUUCACCUUUUCUUUUUCUUUUUCUUAAGCACUUAGGAUCAAAGAUGAGAGCAUUGUCCAAUGUAAAGAUAUCUUAAUCUUUUUAGAAGACUCAUGUAAUAAGUGUUGGGUCAAUGGCUACCAAACCAGAUGACUUUAAGGCAGUAGGUGUUAAGACACCCCAAAGGACUUAAUAACUCAAGCCAACUAGCUUACAAAUAAAAAUUUCUCUCAACUGUUCAUUUCCUAAACCCUUUACCUUUUGACAUGAGAGAAUAAUACUUAGUGAGACAAGAAUCCCUGUUACUCGAUAAAAGAGCAUUUAUUAUUUUAUUGGGUCUUUCACAUUUUGACACGAGAAUUCAAUACUUAAUGAGGAAAGAAUCCCGGUUACUUGGUAAAAAGGCUUUAUUAUUUAACAUGCAAGGUCAUCAUAUCAAGUAUGUUGAAUUCUCAAAGUCUACUAACUUAACUAAGAUAAAACCAAAGCAAUGAUCAACUAAGCAUAUACUCGACAAGAUGAAUGUUAGUGUGCGCCUGUGUAAGUAUAGUACUCUAUAAUCAAUCCUCAAGGCAUGAUUAACAUGAAAGGUGAUGUGGACCACAAAAGCAAGUAUGUCAAAAAGUUUGAAAUUAUCCCUAAAUGACGUCCUUAAGCAUACAAAAAGUAUUAUACUCUAAAAAAUUGCUAUGAAACGUUAUUCAUAUUUCACAAAGAUUGAGUCAUUGCUAAAUUUAGCUUUUAACUCUCAAAAUGCAUGAAAAGCUCAAACAAAUAUAAUAGAAUUUAAGAAAGUGACAUACCCACGAACUUAAACCAUACAUUGUACUCAAUGUGCAAUAAAGAUAAAAGAUAAGAUAGAGAGAUUAUAACAGCGUGGCAAAAAACCAGUGAAACGCUGGCAACAAAAUGAUCUAGCUGGAAGAAAGACACCCCCAAACUUGGAUUCAAAAACCUGCCUCAUUAAAGUACCACACUAACAUAACUCUCUUCAAUAUCAAAAUGGUAUAGGGAUAAGCACACAAUACAUACUAAAGCAAUAUGAAAUGUAAUAGAAGAGAGAGAGAGAGAAAAAAAAUAGGCCUUAGAUAUAACAGUGAAACAAGAAGGAUACAGAGAAUUAGCUUUAUCAGGCACAAACUAUCAACUUGAUAAACUAUUUAUGUCAAUGUAGCAAAAAUAAUCAAGUGACAAAUAUUUGACAGUAGCAAUAAAAAAUAAUACACAACCCCAAAUGUAUGGCUAGCGGACUAGCUAAUGAAAUAAUAACAUCACAGUGUAGCAUAGUCAAAAUAGUCUACCCAAAUGUAAGGAAAGAGAGAAUAUAUAUAAAUAAAGAGAUGUAGAGAAAGAGAAAGAUCAUCGAGUAAGCGGCUGGGAGUGUAAUGGAGCCCGGGUCUGGAGAUGAAGUAGAAUAUCACCCAUCAUGCUGUGUAUCUAAUCCUGAAAAUCCAUAAUAUCUCACCUUACCACCCCCGGAGCUGAAUAAUCUUCCCCUGAAGUUGAGCAAUCUCCCCCCAAAUGGUCAUAAUCAGCAUGGGGGAAUAUAAAGGGCUUCUCAUGAGUACAGUUUUCAGGGCUGUAGAGUCGGCAACUAGCUGCUUUGGAACAUCUGCAUCCCUCAUCUCAGGGUCCUGACCUGGAAUAGCUAUCGAAACUGGCACAUCCCCCUAAACCUUAGCUGUAUUAGCUAGAAAUAGCCUUGGUGCCCUCUAGCAUGCACUUCAUCCAAUCUGAGUUACUAUAAUGUAAUGAAAUUGAGAAGAAAGGUUCAUCCAAAUGAAAGGGGCAUUGCUAAUCAUCCAGGAUCUGUGCAAUGAGGUGGGCAUAUGGUAGGCUCCAAGCCUUGGCCAGUUUAAACUGUCUGGAAAUGAGCUCAUCCCAAUACUUAUGCAGGACACCCUAUAUAAGUGUUGGAACUGGAAACCAAUGACCUGUAGGAAUAGCAUAGAGAGUUGUUAAUAAAUUACAUCUCCACUAUAUCUUAUGGCCGGAGGGAAAUACAUUACAGUAGAGGACCGUGACAAGAAACCACAUCUAUUGUGGUAAGGUCUUCCUUGUAGCAUAAUUACCGUACCUAUCUGCAAACUCUAUACAUAAUAUUGAUCAUAUCUUGGACUAAGGGCCAUUUGAGAGGUGGGUAUACAAUCUGGGAUGCGUGGAUUGCCUCUAGGGAUCAUAGAGGCACCGACAAAACAACCUCAAUGGUAUUAAUGGUAAUAGCAAUAGGAUUCCCUGGUCCUGGUGGAUCACCUCUAUGGGUCUAGUCUGGAGUCACGUAGGGUCCACCUGGUCUUGGUGGAGAUACUGAAAUAACAAUCAGACAAGGUGAGGACAAAUCCGCUCAUGUACUGGAUGAAGCAUAGCAGAAAAGGCCCCGCCUGGUAAAUCUUGGCAUAUGCCCACUUGGUUUCAUUCCAACUAAAAAUAUAUGGCUUGUGGAAUGUUGUCUCGAGAGCUAACACCUUUUUCUCGAACUCCUCACUCAGUACCUCCCGGACUAUGUGAGUCGUAUGAGGAGUCGGUGAAGUCGGAGAACGAGAUGGUGAAAGGAUGGAGUAAACUCGGGAGAUGAAGAUGUUGUAGGCUCUCGAUUAUGGUCAGUUCUCAUCUUUCUUUGUCCAUUCUUUGGAGACAUGGUCUAUAAAAUAAGAAAUACUUGCAUGAUGCAUUAGUCCCCUGAAAUAGAAAGAUGUAUGAUUGCUUGAAAGACAUAUGGCAUGUGUGCAUAAAGAUGAAACAAUAAUUAAAUCAGUACAACAAGCAAGCCUAUGCAGGACGUACAUGUUGUAAAGAGAACUUUAAAUUCACAUUCCAUUUCAAAAAUUAAAAGCAUGAGAAUACACAAAGCAUGUUGACAUGAAAAUAUCCAUUUUCAACCCUUGGGAUGCCUUAACAAGCUAACAUGCAAGCAUGGAUGAGGUAAGAGAAUCAACAAGUGCAUAAGUUGGAAUUUAUGUGAAACUGGACACAAGUUAUCAUUUGAUAUGAAACUCAAAGCAUAGGGCAAGCAUUUUGGACAUGGAAGCACAAAGUCAUGAAAAUAUGGAAUUAUGGACCAAUGCAACCCCAAGAAUGACAAACCAAGGUCACAUCCCAUUAACGACCUCAUUUUGGAGAAUGAAGCAUGAAUGCUAAUCAUUAACCUAAGACGUGAGGAUGACAACCAUGAAUGUGACAAUGAGACCAACGACACUCAAAAACAUGCAUUUUUAUUUCUAUUUUUGACUUCAAAAUCACCAUGUUAGAAAAUGAGGUUCAAAGCCAAUCCUAAACAAUUCACAAGGUAAUAGAGGAGUUCUUAAAUUGAGAUUUUAACCUUCAAAACAAACAAUGUGUGGUCGUGAUAAUCUAAAACGAAAGUGGACUAUAGAUGAUGAAAUAGUGUAUGGAAAAUGCAACUAUGACAUUGGUUUACUAAGAUGACACUCAAUGUUCUAAACAAAGUAACCUUGAUAAUGCCCUAGACAAAUCUUAUGAACACAAGAGAGAAUGAAUGCUUCAUAGCUUGAAAAUAACAAUGUUGGAAGCCUUGUAACAUGAUCAUAACACAUCCUUCACAACACAAAUAAACCACAACUCCAUCUGCAAUAAUUCCCAUCCUCCAUUUAUUCUCAACAAACAACUAUGGUCACUUGAGGCAUGUGACCCCCUUAGCCUGAAUAGAAUCAAAUGAUUAGAGCAUGUGUAGAAAAAUAACUAAUUUUGAAAGCAUGUAUCAAUGAAGCAUUAAUUUGUAUAUAUGAAAAAUCAAGAGAUUGGAAUGAGAACAUCAUCUUAUCCACUUAUCAACACAAUGAACAACAAAAUCACAGCAUGAAUAAAUGAAUAUGAACAUGGAGAUGUCAAAACAAUGCGAAUGACAAUUGAAGUAAAAGAAAACAUGUAAUGAAUUAAGGUUUAUGUAAAGCAUUACCAUCAUCAUUAUGACAUUAUCACUUGUGGAAAGAUCACCACUAGAUCAUCUUCAUUAAAACCAUUUCCAUGAUAAGAAAUCAUCAUUAUUAUUCUUAUUUUUCAAUUCAAACUUCAGUAUCACAAAAUCCUCAAAAUUAAAGUUAAAACUGUCAUCAAUGUCACAAUUGAGCAUCAUCAACAUAUUUGUUUAUAUAGAAAUGAAAGUUGUGAAUAGUCCAUAUGAAUAUCCUUAUCAGACUCAUGGCAUUAGCAUCAUCAAUGACAGGCUUAACAUGAAAAUCACAGUAUUAAGUAUGGCCCUAACAUUGUCACAGAUGUACAAAUCCAAUAAAUAUUUAUCUUAAUAGUCAUAUGCACAAUAUAGAUCAUUAAAGUAACCAUUUGUGAGGGAAUAAGUAGCAUGAAAGAUCAUGAGAUGAUUGAGAAGAGUAUUAGAUCAUCACUUACCGAAGAGGGGGAACUUGGAUGCAAACCGAAGAGGAAAGAUGACAAUGUGUACCUAGAUGCAAUGAAAUGGACUUCAAAUGUUAGAUCUGGGCUCUAAUUGUGUGGGAAUGGAGAUUGACGAGCUUAGGGUUCGGGAGGAAGAAGAGAGAAAUGGACAGAAUGGAGGAAAUGGGUGCCGGAAGUGUUUUAAAACACUAUUGUUGCCGCCACGAUCGAUCGCGUUCGAGAUUUGAAUCAUGGGACCAAGGUACUUGUGAUCAAUCGUGAGCAUGGACUGUGAACGGUCGCGAAGAGUACCGAUUUUGGAAGUUUUCAAAAAAAUUUGAAGUGUUGGAUCGCGAUCGAUAAUGACCUAGCCUAUAAUUGAUUACAAAGAAGACUGAUUUUGGAGAAUUUCAAAAAAUUUAUAAGUGCUGGCUUGCGGUCGAUCAUGCUUACACGAAUGGUUCCUGUGAACGGUCAAAUGGGUGCCUGAAAUUUUGCUGCUUUAAAAUUUUUUCUCAGUGCAAAGCCGCGAUCGAUUGGGAGGGAGGACGCAAUGCGUAGUGCUCAAAAUUGAAAAAAAAAAAAAAAAAAAAAAAAAAAAAAAAACUAAAA